rnacentral:tRNA from 1 species
GGGGCGCGUAGCGCAGAGGCAGGCGCACCUCGACGACAGUCGGGGGCACGCCGGUUCGAACCCGGCCCGCCCCG